rnacentral:rRNA from 1 species
CCUACGGGAGGCAGCAGUGAGGAAUAUUGGUCAAUGGGCGCGAGCCUGAACCAGCCAAGUAGCGUGAAGGAUGACUGCCCUACGGGUUGUAAACUUCUUUUAUAAAGGAAUAAAGUGAUUCACGUGUGCCUUUUUGUAUGUACCUUAUGAAUAAGGAUCGGCUAACUCCGUGCCAGCAGCCGCGGUAAUACGGAGGAUCCGAGCGUUAUCCGGAUUUAUUGGGUUUAAAGGGUGCGUAGAUGGGUUGUUAAGUCAGUUGUGAAAGUUUGCGGCUCAACCUUAAAAAUGCAAUUGAUACUGGCAGGCUUGAGUACAGUCGAGGUAGGCGGAAUACGUGGUGUAGCGGUGAAAUGCUUAGAUAUAACGAAGAACACCGAUUGCGAAGGCAGCUUACUAAACUGACACUGACAUUGAUGCACGAAAGUAUGGGUAUCAAACAGGAUUAGAUACCCCUGUAGUC